ACAAACACUAAGGAAGUAGCAUGUGGAAGGCCACACCUUCUGUUGCCAUCAGUAGGGGGGGUUUCUGUAGGCUGAGGACCUAUGAGCCUUUUGGGUUACCUUUGACUUGCACUUGGGCUUUUAUGUUGAUGCCAAGCAGUAUGUUUAUACUCCUCUAAAAUGUAUUUUUCUGUAUAUAAAUAGUGUUUUUGUUAACUCUCACCGGCUCCAGUCUCAACUUUUGCCUCUAAUUUUUCCCAUAAUAUUCACUAACUCUAGUGAUAGCUGUCUAUGUGCAUAGUACUGAGACUAAUUCAGAGAGUGGGUUGGAUGAACUUUGGUUUGAUUUGUACGUAAUUGUUAAAAACUGUGUUUAAGAAAACAGUUGUACCCUUGGCAAAACCUGGAAGUCUCUAUGUUAACAAUUUUCCCAAUUUUUAUUUUAGGAAGCCAUUCUGCGUAUUAUGUUUUUAAAUAAAAGGAUUUGACUUUGGGCUGA
rnacentral:lncRNA from 1 species